GUGUGCCACCACUGCCUGACCAUUUAGCUGUUUUUAUUUCAUUUGCUUUUAAAGGACCACACAAAGCCUCUCAACAAUAAAUCAUCCAUUACUUUCAGAACACAAUUAUCUAAAACUUCGAGCUAAAUAACCAAACUGGAUUAAAAGCACAGUGACCUUUGUAUAUGAUUAAAUAAACUUUUAAAUUUAAGAUUCUCUGGUUGCUACACUUUUCCUUUAUAGGGUUCUCUGAUAGUGGAUCAGAAACACCCAGUCAUGCUUAUUCAUCAUGAAUUAACCUUGUAUAAAUAAUUAAAUGGUUUAUUGGCUAAAUCUAGAGCUAGACACUUUUCAGGUGUGGCACUCCCAGGAGACCACAAAUGCUAGUUGCCCUGCAUAAUCCGUAGACAAAGAAGAUGGUUGCUUCCCAUAGUUCUUCUAAGAGAUCAUUUAUUUUACUGGUGCUCUUUGGCAUAAGCUGACGUUCAUUGUGAUUAGCUCUCAGAUCAGCAGGCAAAGGUUCUGGGAUCCUGGUUGUCAGGGAUGCAUCCUUGACCCAGAACUUAGUGCUGACAUUCCAAAAUUUCCAGGGUACAAGUGGUAAAAUCUGAAGGCCAGCCACCCUUUCUAACUGCGUGCUUUACAGAGGAGGAGUUGGAUGAACAAGGGCUAAAAUAGUUUGGGAAGGACGAUAGGCAUGAUCAGGAAUUGAUGUCAUUGAUGGCUGCUCGGAGAGGGAGAAUCAGGGACGAGCCCCAUGAUAGCUUAUCUAAUCCCAAAUAGUCAACAUUAAACACUUACACAUACAAGCAGCACUAAUUGGACUCAACAAGUUACACACACAC
rnacentral:lncRNA from 1 species